rnacentral:rRNA from 1 species
CCUACGGGUGGCAGCAGUGGGGAAUAUUGCACAAUGGGGGGAACCCUGAUGCAGCGACGCCGCGUGAGGGAAGAAGUAUUUCGGUAUGGAAAGCUCGAUCAGCAGGGAAGAAAAUGACGGUACCUGACUAAGAAGCCCCGGAUAACUAAGUGCCAGCAGCCGCGGUAAUACGUAGGGUGCCAGCGUUAUCCGGAUUUACUGGGUGUAAAGGGAGCGUAGAAGGUUAUGCAAGUCUGAAGUGAAAGCCUAAGGCUCAACCAUGGGACUGCUUUUGAUACUGUAAACCUGGAGUGCAGUGGAGGUAAGCGGAAUUCCUAGUGUAGCGGUGAAAUGCGUAGAUAUUAGGAGGAACACCAGUGGCGAAGGCGGCUUACUGGACUGUAACUGACGUUGAUGCUCGAAGGCGUGGGGAUCAAACAGGAUUAGAUACCCUAGUAGUC